rnacentral:rRNA from 1 species
GACGAACGCUGGCGGCGUGCUUAACACAUGCAAGUCGAACGGAAAGGCCCUGCUUUUGUGGGUGCUCGAGUGGCGAACGGGUGAGUAACACGUGAGUAACCUGCCCUUGACUUUGGGAUAACUUCAGGAAACUGGGGCUAAUACCGGAUAGGAGCUCCUGCUGCAUGGUGGGGGUUGGAAAGUUUCGGCGGUUGGGGAUGGACUCGCGGCUUAUCAGCUUGUUGGUGGGGUAGUGGCUUACCAAGGCUUUGACGGGUAGCCGGCCUGAGAGGGUAACCGGCCACAUUGGGACUGAGAUACGGCCCAGACUCCUACGGGAGGCAGCAGUGGGGAAUAUUGCACAAUGGGCGGAAGCCUGAUGCAGCAACGCCGCGUGCGGGAUGACGGCCUUCGGGUUGUAAACCGCUUUCGCCUGUGACGAAGCGUGAGUGACGGUAAUGGGUAAAGAAGCACCGGCUAACUACGUG